AGAGCCGCGGGCCGCGCCGGCGGCGGGGAGCCUCCUCUCGCGAGAGUGCAGACGGUCUGCUGUGUGGCCGCCUGUGCCCUAGCGCCUGUCUGUGGUGUUCGUCUUUCCCGCAGCCCGUGUUUCUCGGGGCAGGGCGGCCUAACUCAGCCUGUCCUAACGCGGCCCUGCAGCUGCGCCCGCAAGGAUCGGAAGGCGGGCUGUAGCGAUUCCAUGUGCCUGUGGGGUGGCUGAACUCCAGGAAGCCGUGUCAGUGCCGAGGUGGCUGUGCUCUGGGCAGGUGCGGGCCUGGCCUGCUUGUUACUCAAAGCACCUUACUGUAGGAUCAGCGCCUUGAGCCGCUGCAGUGGAGCUUGCUGGAUAGAGCUGCCUGGAUAUAAAUGUCUUCUUUUUGCCAGAGGCAAAUUAAGCGUGCUUGCAGAGCGUGCGUAAUUCCUAACGAUUGCAAAGUGCGGUAUGAGCGCUGUGGGACAUGACUGUAGCUAAAGGGAACAGGCUGACACGGUCACAUCUGCCAGAAGUUUGCAUGGAAUUCAUGUCAGAGCUGGGCGUGCUCAGUGUUCCCAAGGUCUCAGUGAUACUGUAACAAUCCCUGGAGGCAUACCACCAGUUCUCUGAUCUGAAGAGACCUCCUGACUUGAAGUCCAGCAGAAACUACCUGCCCACACAUGUUCAGCUUGUCUUCACACAGACAUUGCCAAGAUGUGGGAACUGCCUUGACUAUAACUAAUGGGCUGUGCUGAGAGUAUAUUAAGGUGGGUUUUUAUGUUUGUGGGUAUUCUUUUUUUUUCAGAUGCAUUACAACUGAUAAUUGUCUACACAGAUAUUGGUUAUUCCACCCCACAAAUGGUUCAAAUUUAAGAUGUGGUAGGCAAAACUGAAACAGCAAAAAGUAGACACAAAUCACAUCCUUCUCUAAGACAUAUUUUCCACAUAUCGCCCAAAUCAGACCACAAAUUUUGACUUGCAGAAAAACUGUUUUUAAGGGGUCUCACUGGAAGAGAUAUCAUAACAGCAACAUCCAAAAAGCAUAACCAUGGUUUUGUUUUCAAAACAAAGUUCCCAUCUAAUGAUACCAAGAAGGUCUUUCACAAAGUUUCUGAAAGCAGAGGUGGGACUUUGUAAAGAGUAAGGGUAAAAAUAAGCGGGGCUGCAGGGCUAAAAAGUGUAGUUUCAAUUGAUGUUGAUGUAUUUGAGGACAAAAAUAUAAAUAUUAUGAUGUGGAGAAAAGGUCUGUGAACUGCUGUUCUAAUUCCGAGCAGAAAAGUGCAAUUUAGGAGAUCCAGAGGUAGGACUGAGACCCUCUCUGUCUCAGUUUCAUUUUUAAAAUAAUGAAUGAAGUAUUUUCUUCCUGUAGUGACUUGACAAAUGUUAUGGCAAUCGAGCACAUAGCUAACUAGAAUUUUGCAGUGUUCUGUAGUAAAUAACUAACUGCACCUUGCAACUCCACAGUGAGGUUGAUAAUAUUCUCUAAGACUUGGAAUGAAUCGUAGUUCCUGCACAUCUCCAGUAUGGUACCAAACAGGGAGAACAUGACAAGAGCUCUCCCUGUUUGUCAGGAUGUCAGUGUGCUAAAAAUGUCAAGCUCAGUUCUCGCUAAAAACAUCCCUAUAUACUGUAUAUUUUCAAGAGAAGAGGCACAAUAUUGAGGACUGAUGCACAGUAGGUAAAGCAUUUCAUUAUGCUCAUGUUGGUAAUGUUCAACCCUUUUGACUGUGGUAGUAGCUACAGUUUGUCUUUAGCUGGAUGCAUGGACAUGUAGCAGUGAUAAGAGGGAGAAUGACAUGUUCUCUUUUACAUGGGCUAUCUGAAAUUCAUGCCUAUGCAAUAUGUAUGUUUUAUCUGCUAGAAAUAAGGAGACUGAUCUGAUUGCCCUGUGUGGUUGUUUGAGUGGAUGAGGAAAAGGAGGUGGAGGAUGGAAGCAGGAGAGUGGAUCAAUGACAUGACUGCUGAGAUCUUUCGCCUUGUGAGGAAGGUUUAUGGCCAUAGCACAGGCUGUUCUGGAAACCCUUAUAUGGUUUGGAUUUAUUUUUAAUAACCUUUCACUUUGUCUUGUUUUUAUAUUACAUUACCUUGCUGUUAAUCUUUUUUUCUGAAGGGAAUGAAAUCAUCUGUACUCCAUUCCAACCCUUUCUUGCUUUGCUUUGCUGAGUGUUUCCUGGGAACUUUCUAAGACCGUUAAGAAAUCCGUGAUAUAAAAACAAAAAAACACAGCACCAGCUUUAAAUCCCUUCAUAACUUGAAGGCAAAAUAACUACUCAGGGAUGAGUAGCAAAGAACAUGAAAAUUAGCUGGGUGGAGGAAGUGACUGGUAAUAGUAGUAGGUAUUCUCUACUCUGUUGUUAUCUUCCUCUCACUGUUCCUUUUCAUUUAACCCUUCUUUUAAUCCUCCUUGGAGCAAAGCCAGGAGCAAGAAAGAAAGGGACCAGAUUGCUAAUCAAAUAGUGCAAUCAGAAGGUUUUUUUGAUAAAGUGAUUUGAUGCAGAGGUCAGGCAUUUUCCUGAUGGCUUGGAAGAUAACAGUGAGGCCACAGAUCUGCUGCCUUUAUCUAGCUGCCUGAUAGCAACCAACCCUCUGAGGGGAUGGCUCUGUUGUUGAGAUCACUCAGGUUUUCUUCUUGCUGCUCUGGCUGCCAGCUGAGGUGCUAAUUUGUGCUGGCUGUGAUGAUUAGAACAGUCAUCUACAAAGGCAAUGGAUGCGGUCUGGCAGAGUCCUUGCACAAAGUGCACAGGGCAGCCAGCAAAUGGUAACAAUUAUGUUUGUGGUCCUAUUAAAAUGGCCUCAGACAAGGGCAGUAUGGCAGAUUGAAGUCUUCCUGCACUGACCAACAGAGAUUUGUUACUUGCUCUGUCAGUGUAGAGAAAAGGUAGCCCUGAAAGCAAAUCAUAGAGGAUUUUAACGCGGAGUACCAGCUGCUCUUUGGAGACCCUACCAUUGUUCCCAUAGCAAAGCCAUGAAGAAAAUCCUAGCCUUGUUAAGGCCUUGUCUAAUUCCCAAAUACAUUUCUCCACAGCAAAUUUACUCAAAGAGCAGAAGAGUAUGGAUGUUCUUUCAGAAUAAAGGUAGAGGUUCACUGCAGAAAGGGUAUGGAAUGAAUGUCAGAUUAAUGAAUAAACUUACUGAAAAAAUAAAAACAGUUAAAAGAGAAUUAGUGAUUGUCAUCAGCCUUUGUAGUGUAAGUCUUGGAGAGACCCAGUAUUUCUGUUAACUUCAGUACCUCUGUUUUUGCAAAUCCAAUUCUGAGCUAGUUUAUCACAACUCAUGUUGUAUACUCAUGCUGUAUUUCUCUGAUUGGAGACCCCUAUGUGACAGUUUCAAAUUUUUGCACAUUUGGACUUCAGUCUUUUCAUUCCCUCACCUUAUUUUCUCACUCCUCCUGCCAUCCUCACUGCAGCAACCCUCAUAUUCUGACAUAGGAACUUGGCCCUCAAUACAUUCUAGGAGCUCUGGGAUUGCUGAGUAUUUAUAAAAACAGCUUGCAUUUCUCUAGGAUUUCCAUCUGCAGAGUCCAGAGUUCAACACACUGUUCAUUCUCACAUCUUUUCUAAGAGAGCUGAUUGAACUGCCUUAAGGCACCAAGAGGUGAAGAAACUGCCACAGUUCAGCAGCAUGAUAUAUUUUUGCUGUAUCUCUCAUCUGUCAUCCAUGAUCUAUAAUCCACAUAAUACUGUGACAAUGUUAAUGAUUCUUUUCAGACAUCUUUCCACAUCCUGCUUCCCAGAUUGUCAGUUUUGGGUGUCAAAUACAAAGAUUUACUAGCUGCUUUUGAAAAUAUCAGAGAGCUAAAUAAAAGUGUUUUUUUUUUUAAUUAUUAUUAUUAUUAUUAUUAUUAUUAUUUUGGUUGAACAUUUUCUUCAGCUUGACUUUCAUCUUUUGCUCAAGUUUUCCAAGACUGGAAAACAGAUGCCACAAAGGGACAAAAUUGUACCACCAAGUAAAGCUUAAAGAGCAUCAGAAGAUAAGAUGCUGCAUCCAAAUGUUGUUUUACUGAAUUCCUAACAUUAUGUAAAAGGAGAGUUUCCUCUUGUAAGAGUUUUCAAUAUCUUCAGAAGACUUUACUUCAGGCAAGUAACUGAAGAAAGGUUAAAUGAAAGAACUAACUCAUGGGGAAGAGGAAAAAAGGCAUUGUAUCUAAUAGGAAGACACACUAGAAAAAAGCCCGCCAUAGCUUCCAGCAAAUAAACUGAAUAAAUUGCAAUGUCAUCUUGGAAAUUUCUAUCUGAAUUUUCAUUUAUGGAAUUUUGUGCAGAAGCAAGAAGGGUACCGUGCCCUGUAGGAGGAAUAAAAUUGUAUCCAAGGCUAAAAAUAGAACCUCACCCACUGUUGCUGAAGUCAGACUCGACUGGAUCACUUCCAUCUCGCAAAGAGAAAAGGGGAUGGGUACAGCACCCUGUGCAGUUCUGAAUGCCUGAUAAACAUACAGUCCUCCCUCGUCACUCAGUACUGUGUUUUCCCAUGCUGCUGUUUGCAUGAUACCAAACUAUUCACAGAAGAAAACUAAAGCUGCUGCCAAAAGAAACAAACAGGAGGGGAAUCAACUCUUUGAAAGGGUUGAUAACUG